rnacentral:lncRNA from 1 species
GUUGCAUUCUGAUGGGACUACUUUUCCGUGAAAUGUCUUCUUCUUUUAGAAACAAUAUCCAUUCGCAAUCCCGGCUGAAACUUUUCUCUCGUAUACAUCCUAUCCACUUUAUGGCCCAACUUUCAGCCUGGAAUUUUAAUGAUUUAAGUUUGUAGAGAAGCAUUUGAUUGAAAUCUAGGUUUAUUUCUUCCUCAGAAAACCAUUAUAAUCUGAAAAUUUAAGCUCAAGAGGAGGAAAAAUGUCAGAUUUCUUG